rnacentral:misc_RNA from 1 species
GGACUACUAGGGUAUCUAAUCCUGUUUGCUCCCCACGCUUUCGAGCCUCAACGUCAGUGAUCGUCCAGUAAGCCGCCUUCGCCACUGGUGUUCCUCCUAAUAUCUACGCAUUUCACCGCUACACUAGGAAUUCCGCUUACCUCUCCGACACUCUAGUUACAUAGUUUCCAAUGCAGUCCCGGGGUUGAGCCCCGGGCUUUCACAUCAGACUUACACAACCGUCUACGCUCCCUUUACACCCAGUAAAUCCGGAUAACGCUUGCACCAUACGUAUUACCGCGGCUGCUGGCACGUAUUUAGCCGGUGCUUCUUAGUCAGGUACCGUCAUUUUCUUCCCUGCUGAUAGAGCUUUACAUACCGAAAUACUUCUUCGCUCACGCGGCGUCGCUGCAUCAGGGUU